rnacentral:rRNA from 1 species
UACGUAGGGUGCGAGCGUUUUCCGGAAUUACUGGGCGUAAAGAGCUCGUAGGUGGUUUGUCGCGUUGUUCGUGAAAUCUCACUGCUUAACUGUGAGCGUGCGGGCGAUACGGGCAGACUAGAGUACUGCAGGGGAGACUGGAAUUCCUGGUGUAGCGGUGGAAUGCGCAGAUAUCAGGAGGAACACCGGUGGCGAAGGCGGGUCUCUGGGCAGUAACUGACGCUGAGGAGCGAAAGCGUGGGGAGCGACCAGG